AACAAAAACAUGUCCUUUUGGUAUUUAUAUAAGGUCUGACCUGCCCACUGAUUAAUUGAAUGGCCGCAGUAUUUUGACUGUGCAAAGGUAGCAUAAUCAUUAGUUUUUUAAUUAAAAGCUUGUAUGAAGGGUUGGACGAGGUAAAAUCUGUCUCUAUUUAAUUUAUUUUAGAAUUUAAUUUUUAAGUUAAAAAGCUUAAAUUAUUAUAAAAGACGAGAAGACCCUAUAGAUCUUUAUAUUAUUAUAAAUAAUUUUAAUUAAGAAUAUUUUAUUUUUUAUUUAUAUUAAUAUUUUAUUGGGGUAAUAAAUAGAUUAAAUAAAUUCUUUUUAAAAUUGAAUACUAAUUUGUAAUUAUAUGAUCCAAUAUUUUUGAUUAAAAGAUUAAGUUACCUUAGGGAUAACAGCGUAAUUUUUUUUGAGAGUUCAUAUCGAUAAAAAAGUUUGCGACCUCGAUGUU
rnacentral:rRNA from 1 species